rnacentral:rRNA from 1 species
CAGCCGCCGCGGGAAUACGGAGGAUCCGAGCGUUAUCCGGAAUUAUUGGGUUUAAAGGGUGCGUAGGCGGAUAGAUAAGUCAGUGGUGAAAGACGGUGGCUCAACCAUCGCAGUGCCGUUGAUACUGUUUAUCUUGAAUAUGGAUGAGGCAGGCGGAAUGUGGCAAGUAGCGGUGAAAUGCAUAGACAUGCCACAGAACACCGAUUGCGAAGGCAGCUUACCAAGGCAAAAUUGACGCUGAGGCACGAAAGCGUGGGGAUCGAACAGGAUUAGAUACCCGAGUAGUCCCUGUCUCUUAUAA